rnacentral:rRNA from 1 species
AUUGAACGUUGGCGGCAGGCUUAACACAUGCAAGUCGAGCGAGCGGCGGACGGGUGAGUAAUGUAUGGGGAUCUGCCCGAUAGAGGGGGAUAACUACUGGAAACGGUGGCUAAUACCGCAUACUAUAGGAUGAAUCCAUAUGGGAUUAGCUAGUAGGUGGGGUAAAGGCUCACCUAGGCGACGAUCUCUAGCUGGUCUGAGAGGAUGAGCAGCCACACUGGAACUGAGACACGGCCCAGACUCCUACGGGAGGCAGCAGUGGGGAAUAUUGCACAAUGGGCGCAAGCCUGAUACAGCCAUGCCGCGUGUAUGAAGAAGGCCUUAGGGUUGUAAAGUACUUUCAGCGGGGAGGCGUUACCCGCAGAAGAAGCACCGGCUAACUCCGUGCCAGCAGCCGCGGUAAUUC